GAUGAACGCUGGCGGCGUGCCUAAUACAUGCCAGUCGAGCGAACGGACGAGAAGCUUGCUUCUCUGAUGUUAGCGGCGGACGGGUGAGUAACACGUGGAUAACCUACCUAUAAGACUGGGAUAACUUCGGGAAACCGGAGCUAAUACCGGAUAAUAUUUUGAACCGCAUGGUUCAAAAGUGAAAGACGGUCUUGCUGUCACUUAUAGAUGGAUCCGCGCUGCAUUAGCUAGUUGGUAAGGUAACGGCUUACCAAGGCAACGAUGCAUAGCCGACCUGAGAGGGUGAUCGGCCGCACUGGAACUGAGACACGGUCCAGACUCCUACGGGAGGCAGCAGUAGGGAAUCUUCCGCAAUGGGCGAAAGCCUGACGGAGCAACGCCGCGUGAGUGAUGAAGGUCUUCGGAUCGUAAAACUCUGUUAUUAGGGAAGAACAUAUGUGUAAGUAACUGUGCACAUCUUGACGGUACCUAAUCAGAAAGCCACGGCUAACUACGUG
rnacentral:rRNA from 1 species